GGACUACAAGGGUUUCUAAUCCUGUUUGCUCCCCACGCUUUCGUGCCUGAACGUCGGUGCUGGACCAGGAAGCCGCUUUCGCCACUGAUGUUCCUUCCGAUAUCUACGCAUUUCACCGCUACACCGGAAAUUCCGCUUCCCUCUUCCGCACCCUAGCCUUUCAGUCUCGAAUGCAAUUCCCAGGUUGAGCCCGGGGAUUUCACACCCGACUUAAGAGACCGUCUGCGCACGCUUUACGCCCAGUAAUUCCGAUUAACGCUCGCACCCUCUGUAUUACCGCGGCUGCUGGCAC
rnacentral:rRNA from 1 species